CCAAUAACGUAGAGACUGUCCCGACCCGAUAUUCAAUAUAUUUCUGAAUGCUCACAUAGUCACAUAAUCUUUAAUAAUUGUAAUCAGUGGGACAUUGAUUCUCUAACCACUUCUUCGGCGAUGAAUUUUUCUAGACUAAACGAGUAACUAGUUAAUAGUAAAAUUUAGAGUAAUUGGCUGCACUGCACCCAUGGCCAUCAUGAGUCACCUAAAUUACAUUAAAUUGAAUGUAUCUCUCUUUCUUCAUCUU